rnacentral:rRNA from 1 species
UACGACGGGGGCUAGCGUUGCUCGGAAUCACUGGGCGUAAAGGGUGCGUAGGCGGGGCUUUAAGUCAGGGGUGAAAUCCUGGAGCUCAACUCCAGAACUGCCUUUGAUACUGAGGAUCUUGAGUUCGGGAGAGGUGAGUGGAACUGCGAGUGUAGAGGUGAAAUUCGUAGAUAUUCGCAAGAACACCAGUGGCGAAGGCGGCUCACUGGCCCGAUACUGACGCUGAGGCACGAAAGCGUGGGGAGCAAACAGG